AACGAACGCUGGCGGCAGGCCUAACACAUGCAAGUCGAACGAGAGCUUCGAGUCUAGUGCGGCAGGGGGGCGUAACACGUGGGAGCCUGCCCUUAGUGUCUCGAUAACACACCGAGAGAGUUGUUCAUACCGCGGAAUAGCCUCGGACCAAAGAUUUAUCUCCCUUGGAUAGGCCCGCGUUGGAUUAGCUAGUUGGUGGGGUAAAAGCCUACCAAGGCGACGAUCCAUAGCUGGUCUGAGAGGAUAAUCAGCCACACUGGGACUGAGACACGGCCCAGACUCCUACGGGAGGCAGCAGUGGGGAAUAUUGGACAAUGGGCGCAAGCCUGAUCCAGCAAUGCCGCGUGAGUGAUGAAGGCCUUAGGGUUGUAAAGCUCUUUUACCCGGGAUGAUAAUGACGGUACCGGGAGAAUAAGCUCCGGCUAACUCCGUG
rnacentral:rRNA from 1 species